UACGUAGGGUGCGAGCGUUGUCCGGAAUUAUUGGGCGUAAAGGGCUCGUAGGCGGUUUGUCGCGUCGGGAGUGAAAACACCGGGCUUAACUCGGUGCUUGCUUUCGAUACGGGCAGACUAGAGGCAUGCAGGGGAGAACGGAAUUCCUGGUGUAGCGGUGAAAUGCGUAGAUAUCGAGAGGAACACCUGCGGCGAAGGCGGGUAGCUGGGCCGACACUGACGCUGAUGCGCGAAAGCGUGGGGAGCAAACAGG
rnacentral:rRNA from 1 species